GUCUGACUUCGGUUGGGCGAGUAAAGUGGCGAACGGGUGAGUAACACGUGGACAAUCUGCCCUUACGUCCGGGAUAAUCCUUCGAAAGGAGGUCUAAUACCGGAUAGUACCUUUUUGCGGCAUCGCAGAACGGUCAAAGGUGGGGUAACCUACCGCGCAAGGAUGAGUCCGCGUUCUAUUAACUUGUUGGUGGGGUAACGGCCUACCAAGGCUUCGAUGGAUAGCCGGCCUGAGAGGGUGAUCGGCCACACUGGGACUGAGAUACGGCCCAGACUCCUACGGGAGGCAGCAGUAGGGAAUAUUGCGCAAUGGACGAAAGUCUGACGCAGCAACACCGCGUGGGUGAUGAAGCAUCUAGGUGUGUAAAACCCUGUCAGUGGGGAAGAACAGCAUGAGGAGUAACUGCCUUGUGCCUGACGGUACCCGCAGAGGAAGUCCCGGCUAACUCCGUGCCAGCAGCCGCGGUAAUACGGGGGGGACGAGCGUUGUUCGGAUUUACUGGGCGUAAAGGGCGCGUAGGCGGGCCCUCAAGUCGGGUGUGAAAACUGGUGGCUCAACUGCCAGCCUGCAUUCGAUACUGAGGAUCUUGAGUACGGGAGAGGAAAGCGGAAUUCCAGGUGUAGCGGUGAAAUGCGUAGAUAUCUGGAAGAACACCGGUAGCGAAGGCGGCUUUCUGGACCGAUACUGACGCUAAAGCGCGAAGGCUUGGGUAGCAAACAGGAUUAGAUACCCUGGUAGUCCAAGCGGUAAACGAUGGGUACUAGGUGUCGGGGGUAUCGACCCCCUCGGUGCCGCAGCUAACGCAUUAAGUACCCCGCCUGGGGAGUACGAUCGCAAGAUUGAAACUCAAAGGAAUUGACGGGGGCCCGCACAAGCGGUGGAGUAUGUGGUUUAAUUCGACGCAACGCGAAGAACCUUACCUGGGUUUGACAUACUUGGGACAGCCGGUGAAAGUCGGUUUCCUCUUCGGAGGCCCUUGUACAGGUGCUGCAUGGCUGUCGUCAGCUCGUG
rnacentral:rRNA from 1 species